UUAAGCGACUAAGCGUACACGGUGGAUGCCCUGGCAGUCAGAGGCGAUGAAGGACGUGCUAAUCUGCGAUAAGCGUCGGUAAGGUGAUAUGAACCGUUAUAACCGGCGAUUUCCGAAUGGGGAAACCCAGUGUGAUUCGUCACACUAUCAUUACGUGAAUACAUAGCGUAAUGAAGCGAACCGGGGGAACUGAAACAUCUAAGUACCCCGAGGAAAAGAAAUCAACCGAGAUUCCCCCAGUAGCGGCGAGCGAACGGGGAGCAGCCCAGAGUCUGAAUCAGCUUGUGUGUUAGUGGAACGGUCUGGAAAGUCCGACGGUACAGGGUGAUAGUCCCGUACACCAAAAUGCACAGGUUGUGAACUCGAAGAGUAGGGCGGGACACGUGGUAUCCUGUCUGAAUAUGGGGGGACCAUCCUCCAAGGCUAAAUACUCCUGACUGACCGAUAGUGAACCAGUACCGUGAGGGAAAGGCGAAAAGAACCCCGGCGAGGGGAGUGAAAAAGAACCUGAAACCGUGUACGUACAAGCAGUGGGAGCCUCUUUAUGGGGUGACUGCGUACCUUUUGUAUAAUGGGUCAGCGACUUAUAUUCUGUAGCAAGGUUAACCGUAUAGGGGAGCCGAAGGGAAACCGAGUCUUAACUGGGCGUUAAGUUGCAGGGUAUAGACCCGAAACCCGGUGAUCUAGCCAUGGGCAGGUUGAAGGUUGGGUAACACUAACUGGAGGACCGAACCGACUAAUGUUGAAAAAUUAGCGGAUGACUUGUGGCUGGGGGUGAAAGGCCAAUCAAACCGGGAGAUAGCUGGUUCUCCCCGAAAGCUAUUUAGGUAGCGCCUCGUGAAUUCAUCUUCGGGGGUAGAGCACUGUUUCGGCUAGGGGGUCAUCCCGACUUACCAACCCGAUGCAAACUGCGAAUACCGAAGAAUGUUAUCACGGGAGACACACGGCGGGUGCUAACGUCCGUCGUGAAGAGGGAAACAACCCAGACCGCCAGCUAAGGUCCCAAAGUCAUGGUUAAGUGGGAAACGAUGUGGGAAGGCACAGACAGCCAGGAUGUUGGCUUAGAAGCAGCCAUCAUUUAAAGAAAGCGUAAUAGCUCACUGGUCGAGUCGGCCUGCGCGGAAGAUGUAACGGGGCUAAACCAUGCACCGAAGCUGCGGCAGCGACACUAUGUGUUGUUGGGUAGGGGAGCGUUCUGUAAGCCGUUGAAGGUGUAUCGUGAGGUAUGCUGGAGGUAUCAGAAGUGCGAAUGCUGACAUAAGUAACGAUAAUGCGGGUGAAAAACCCGCACGCCGGAAGACCAAGGGUUCCUGUCCAACGUUAAUCGGGGCAGGGUGAGUCGACCCCUAAGGCGAGGCCGAAAGGCGUAGUCGAUGGGAAACAGGUUAAUAUUCCUGUACUUGGUGUUACUGCGAAGGGGGGACGGAGAAGGCUAUGUUAGCCGGGCGACGGUUGUCCCGGUUUAAGCAUGUAGGCGGAGGUUCCAGGUAAAUCCGGUACCUUUUUAACGCUGAGGUGUGAUGACGAGGCACUACGGUGCUGAAGUAACAAAUGCCCUGCUUCCAGGAAAAGCCUCUAAGCAUCAGGUAACAUCAAAUCGUACCCCAAACCGACACAGGUGGUCAGGUAGAGAAUACCAAGGCGCUUGAGAGAACUCGGGUGAAGGAACUAGGCAAAAUGGUGCCGUAACUUCGGGAGAAGGCACGCUGAUAUGUAGGUGAAGCGACUUGCUCGUGGAGCUGAAAUCAGUCGAAGAUACCAGCUGGCUGCAACUGUUUAUUAAAAACACAGCACUGUGCAAACACGAAAGUGGACGUAUACGGUGUGACGCCUGCCCGGUGCCGGAAGGUUAAUUGAUGGGGUUAUCCGUAAGGAGAAGCUCUUGAUCGAAGCCCCGGUAAACGGCGGCCGUAACUAUAACGGUCCUAAGGUAGCGAAAUUCCUUGUCGGGUAAGUUCCGACCUGCACGAAUGGCGUAAUGAUGGCCAGGCUGUCUCCACCCGAGACUCAGUGAAAUUGAACUCGCUGUGAAGAUGCAGUGUACCCGCGGCAAGACGGAAAGACCCCGUGAACCUUUACUAUAGCUUGACACUGAACACUGGUCCUUGAUGUGUAGGAUAGGUGGGAGGCUUUGAAGUGUGGACGCCAGUCUGCAUGGAGCCAUCCUUGAAAUACCACCCUUUAAUGGCUGGUGUUCUAACGUGGACCCGUAAUCCGGGUUGCGGACAGUGUCUGGUGGGUAGUUUGACUGGGGCGGUCUCCUCCUAAAGAGUAACGGAGGAGCACGAAGGUUAGCUAAUCCUGGUCGGACAUCAGGAGGUUAGUGCAAAGGCAUAAGCUAGCUUGACUGCGAGAGUGACGGCUCGAGCAGGUGCGAAAGCAGGUCUUAGUGAUCCGGUGGUUCUGAAUGGAAGGGCCAUCGCUCAACGGAUAAAAGGUACUCCGGGGAUAACAGGCUGAUACCGCCCAAGAGUUCAUAUCGACGGCGGUGUUUGGCACCUCGAUGUCGGCUCAUCACAUCCUGGGGCUGAAGUAGGUCCCAAGG
rnacentral:rRNA from 1 species